ACGGAGGGUGCAAGCGUUAUCCGGAUUUAUUGGGUUUAAAGGGUCCGUAGGCGGGCUCGUAAGUCAGUGGUGAAAUCUCAUAGCUUAACUAUGAAACUGCCAUUGAUACUGCGAGCCUUGAGUAAGGUAGAGGUAGCUGGAAUAAGUAGUGUAGCGGUGAAAUGCAUAGAUAUUACUUAGAACACCAAUUGCGAAGGCAGGUUACCAUGUCUUAACUGACGCUGAUGGACGAAAGCGUGGGGAGCGAACAGG
rnacentral:rRNA from 1 species